GAUCCUAGCUCAGGAUGAACGCUGGCGGCGUGCCUAACACAUGCAAGUCGAACGGGGUCGUUUUGGAAAUCUCUUCGGAGAUGGAAUUCUCGACUUAGUGGCGGACGGGUGAGUAACGCGUGAGCAAUCUGCCUUUAAGAGGGGGGAUAACAGUCGGAAACGGCUGCUAAUACCGCAUAAAAGCAUACUAAAUUCGCAUUUGUUUUUAGAUCGACCGAAAGGAGACAACUCCGUCUUUAGAUAGAGCUCGCGU
rnacentral:rRNA from 1 species